AGGUGUUACGAGUUGCUCUUUUGC
rnacentral:siRNA from 1 species